rnacentral:rRNA from 1 species
GACGAACGCUGGCGGCGUGCUUAACACAUGCAAGUCGAACGGAAAGGCCCUGCUUUUGUGGGGUGCUCGAGUGGCGAACGGGUGAGUAACACGUGAGUAACCUGCCCUUGACUUUGGGAUAACUUCAGGAAACUGGGGCUAAUACCGGAUAGGAGCUCCUGCUGCAUGGUGGGGGUUGGAAAGUUUCGGCGGUUGGGGAUGGACUCGCGGCUUAUCAGCUUGUUGGUGGGGUAGUGGCUUACCAAGGCUUUGACGGGUAGCCGGCCUGAGAGGGUGACCGGCCACAUUGGGACUGAGAUACGGCCCAGACUCCUACGGGAGGCAGCAGUGGGGAAUAUUGCACAAUGGGCGGAAGCCGGAUGCAGCACGCCGCGUGCGGGAUGACGGCCUUCGGGUUGUAAACCGCUUUCGCCUGUGACGAAGCGUGAGUGACGGUAAUGGGUAAAGAAGCACCGGCUAACUACGUG